UGCUGAAAUUCCUUCACUUUGUGUAAGAUUAUAUGAUUAAAAAAAAAAAGGCAACCACAUCCUGUUUCUCCACUUCCUUCCUGGUUUUGUUUAAGCUAGCAGCUAGCAUGACUCAGCUGGCUAGCGAGCUCGCUAACAUUUUGGUGAUUAAUUCCUGUCUUUCCGCAGUUAAUUUGCACAACGCCAAUGCAGCUGACGUUUAAAGAUCCCCCAAAAAGACCGCCCACGAGGUUCCUCUCAGACGUCCUGUGGAACGCUCUGGUCCCGGUAGCCUGCAUGGAAAGAAGACAAGACUUUUCUUACUUAAGUUUCUGGACCUGGACUGGAAAAAGAGAAAUGAGCAACCUACCGUCAGAAACUUGGGGUCGGGAAGACGAUGACGACGAACAGAAGAAGAAGGAGAAGGAGAGGAGAGUUAGCGUUUGAACAUCACAAGGUUUUCAUAAUGAGAUGCUGAAACAUUACGAGUGAAGCAACACAAGCCGGAUUGACUUGAUCCAUGACGAGGAAGAAGACGUGCGCAUGCAGGGAGCAGCGUGGGUGGAAUUAAUGGCAGAAAGAUCACAUAAGGAAGGAGCAUUGGAGGCAGGAGGGAGGCCACCACGUGGGAGGAAGAGAAUGAUGCUCAUUAGAAGGGUGGACGCCGCAGAAGAAGAAUGGACGGAUGAUCGCACGCGAGGCAGGACCAUCAUUAGAGAGGGACAAAGUUAUGAUCCUGAGGAGAUGCUCACAUGUACAAACACUGAAAGUAUGCAGUGUACAUGUUUAGGCUGGUGAUGCAAAAGUGACUGUUUAAUGAUGUUCUAACAGGAAUAUGCGUCCCCACAGCCUACUGUGAGAAAAAUCGAAAGUUUCUUUCUUAGUUAGGGGAGACUGCUUUGAAACGUCCUUCCUCAGGCUUCGCUAUACAUCUUAACAUCAGCUCUGAAAAAGAAAAUGAAUGGGGGGGCAUCACCAUAUAUCACAGCAAUCCCCCAUGCCAUGUGACAUCGCAGUAUAGAGGCGACAUCAAAGCUGUUAGCAUUCGCGCAGUUAUUGCGACAUGUUGGCACUGUUUGUGGAAAACAUGCAUCAUCAAAUUAUCUGAAAAAUAUAGUCGAGCUGCGUCGAACAGGCCCCCGCACCCCUACGCAGCUCAGGGUUCACAUUUAGAACUCAAAAUUCCCUCAAGGCGUCAAAGACUCCAGUUCCGGUUGGUGAGAAGAAAAAGAGGCAACAAGGUGAAAAGUCCAGACUGACUUGCCAGGAUGACCAUGUCCAUCCCCCAGAAGAUGCUCAUGAUCCAUCCCACCAUGAUGACGGCCGUCAGGAUCUGGAUGAGGGCGGCCGCCACGUUGAGCCAGAAGAUGCAGCACACGCCUCGCUCGGGGAUCAGCUCGCUGCGGGCGCCGCAUAGCACCGUGAAGGCCGAGAUGAAGGAUCCAGAUAGCAAACUAAACAGUGCCAGCGUGAGGAAUGCUUGGUGGGCGUUUGUGGCUUUUUCUUGUCAUGCUGGUGGAACAGAGCAGCCUGAACAGGUGGGGUGUGUGUGCGUGUGUGUGCGAACUUAAUUUAUCUUUGCACAGAAACGGCAAACAGCACUUGCUUCUCUCGCUAAUCUCAACAAAAUGUUGAGUGUCUGACAAAGUGUGGAGCAAGCAGACAUCAGUGAGCGAGCAGCACAAAUGUCGAGGGCGAUCAAGAAACUUUCAGGGGGUCGAGGCCCCGCCCACCAGCAGAUGCUCUGGCGGCCGCCGUCGAUGCCCGCCUCCAGACGUGCUGACGGCAAGUUAU